GACGAACGCUGGCGGCGCGCUUAACACAUGCAAGUCGAACGGAAAGGCCUGCUUUCCCUUGUGGAUUGCGGGUACUCGAGUGGCGAACGGGUGAGUAACACGUGAGUGAUCUGCCCCCAACUUGGGUAUAAGCCUGGGAAACUGGGUCUAAUUCCCGAUAGGACUGCAGGGUGGUGCCUGUGGUGGAAAACGAUUUUCUAGUGGUUGGGGAUGAGCUCGCGGCCUAUCAGCUUGUUGGCGGGGUAAUGGCCUACCAAGGCGGCGACGGGUAGCCGGCCUGAGAGGGUGGACGGCCACAUUGGGACUGAGAUACGGCCCAGACUCCUACGGGAGGCAGCAGUGGGGAAUAUUGCACAAUGGGCGGAAGCCUGAUGCAGCGACGCCGCGUGGGGGAUGACGGCCUUCGGGUUGUAAACUCCUUUCGACCGCGAGGAAGCCACCUGGUUGGAAGGGUGGUGACGGUAGUGUUAGAAGAAGCACCGGCUAACUACGUG
rnacentral:rRNA from 1 species